AGGAAUUCUAGGAACUUGAGACAGUAUGGGAGAUGAAGACUGCUCCCUGGGAACACUCAGGAUGUCACCACAGGCUUCAAGAGCAGAAAUCAACUGGUCUUCAGGGUUAAGGCCAGACAAACACCCCCAGCACACAGCAAGAGCCAAGGAGCAGCAUGAGGAGCUGACACACCAGGACAUCUCCUCCUGCCGCAGCACAGUCCCACCAGGGCAGGACACUGUCCUGUGCAUCCAAAUACCAUCUGGCAAAGAAGAAGGAACAGCACGAGGAAAUCUGAGCUUCCCUGGAAGGCACUCAUCCUGCAAAAUAGGUAACUGAGUCCAGCAGAGCCCGGAUUCUGGGGUGACUCUGUAAUUUGGCAUAGUUGGCAGACAAAAGCCACAGGUACCACUGCCUCCCUGAAGGCUGCUGAGGACCCUGGAAACAAGCAUGGCCGGUUCAUUCUGUGUGUCUCAUCUGGUAACUUAGGCUCCAUGGAGAGUACAGAGGCUCUGAAGCUAGACAGGAGCAGGACAGAACCGGAGCAGGUGAGCGUUUCCCUUCUAGGUCCUGUGAGAAACUGCCCAGCCUUGUUGCUUCAGAGCUUUCCUUCCCAGGUGCUACUAUCUGGAAUUUCAGGAAAACGGACUAAAUAAAGCUAUGCGGCU
rnacentral:lncRNA from 1 species